rnacentral:rRNA from 1 species
GCGGGGCGGCGUGCUACACAUGCAGUCGAACGAUGAUGCCCAGCUUGCUGGGCGGAUUAGUGGCGAACGGGUGAGUAAUACGUGAGUAACCUGCCCUUGACUCUGGGAUAAGCCUGGGAAACUGGGUCUAAUACUGGAUACUACCUCUUACCGCAUGGUGGGUGGUGGAAAGGGUUUUACUGGUUUUGGAUGGGCUCACGGCCUAUCAGCUUGUUGGUGGGGUAAUGGCUCACCAAGGCGACGACGGGUAGCCGGCCUGAGAGGGUGACCGGCCACACUGGGACUGAGACACGGCCCAGACUCCUACGGGAGGCAGCAGUGGGGAAUAUUGCACAAUGGGCGGAAGCCUGAUGCAGCGACGCCGCGUGAGGGAUGACGGCCUUCGGGUUGUAAACCUCUUUCAGUAGGGAAGAAGCGAGAGUGACGGUACCUGCAGAAGAAGCGCCGGCUAACUACGUGCCAGCAGCCGCGGUAAUACGUAGGGCGCAAGCGUUGUCCGGAAUUAUUGGGCGUAAAGAGCUCGUAGGCGGUUUGUCGCGUCUGCUGUGAAAGCCCGGGGCUCAACCCCGGGUCUGCAGUGGGUACGGGCAGACUAGAGUGCAGUAGGGGAGACUGGAAUUCCUGGUGUAGCGGUGAAAUGCGCAGAUAUCAGGAGGAACACCGAUGGCGAAGGCAGGUCUCUGGGCUGUUACUGACGCUGAGGAGCGAAAGCAUGGGGAGCGAACAGGAUUAGAUACCCUGGUAGUCCAUGCCGUAAACGUUGGGCACUAGGUGUGGGGGACAUUCCACGUUUUCCGCGCCGUAGCUAACGCAUUAAGUGCCCCGCCUGGGGAGUACGGCCGCAAGGCUAAAACUCAAAGGAAUUGACGGGGGCCCGCACAAGCGGCGGAGCAUGCGGAUUAAUUCGAUGCAACGCGAAGAACCUUACCAAGGCUUGACAUUCACCGGACCGCCCCAGAGAUGGGGUUUCCCUUCGGGGCUGGUGGACAGGUGGUGCAUGGUUGUCGUCAGCUCGUGUCGUGAGAUGUUGGGUUAAGUCCCGCAACGAGCGCAACCCUCGUUCUAUGUUGCCAGCACGUGAUGGUGGGGACUCAUAGGAGACUGCCGGGGUCAACUCGGAGGAAGGUGGGGAUGACGUCAAAUCAUCAUGCCCCUUAUGUCUUGGGCUUCACGCAUGCUACAAUGGCCGGUACAAAGGGUUGCGAUACUGUGAGGUGGAGCUAAUCCCAAAAAGCCGGUCUCAGUUCGGAUUGAGGUCUGCAACUCGACCUCAUGAAGUCGGAGUCGCUAGUAAUCGCAGAUCAGCAACGCUGCGGUGAAUACGUUCCCGGGCCUUGUACACACCGCCCGUCAAGUCACGAAAGUUGGUAACACCCGAAGCCGGUGGCCUAACCCCUUGUGGGAGGGAGCCGUCGAAGGGGGGACCA